GAUGAACGCUGGCGGCGUGCCUAAUACAUGCAAGUCGAGCGAACAGACGAGGAGCUUGCUCCUCUGACGUUAGCGGCGGACGGGUGAGUAACACGUGGAUAACCUACAUAUAAGACUGGGAUAACUUCGGGAAACCGGAGCUAAUACCGGAUAAUAUAGUGAACCGCAUGGUUCAAUAGUGAAAGACGGUUUUGCUGUCACUUAUAGAUGGAUCCGCGCCGCAUUAGCUAGUUGGUAAGGUAACGGCUUACCAAGGCAACGAUGCGUAGCCGACCUGAGAGGGUGAUCAGCCACACUGGAACUGAGACACGGUCCAGACUCCUACGGGAGGCAGCAGUAGGGAAUCUUCCGCAAUGGGCGAAAGCCUGACGGAGCAACGCCGCGUGAGUGAUGAAGGUCUUCGGAUCGUAAAACUCUGUUAUUAGGGAAGAACAAAUGUGUAAGUAACUAUGCACGUCUUGACGGUACCUACUCAGAAAGCCACGGCUAACUACGUG
rnacentral:rRNA from 1 species